GUGGGUAACCUGCCUCAUACAGGGGGAUAACAGUUAGAAAUGACUGCUAAUACCGCAUAAGACCACGGUACCGCAUGGUACAGUGGUAAAAACUCCGGUGGUAUGAGAUGGACCCGCGUCUGAUUAGGUAGUUGGUGGGGUAACGGCCUACCAAGCCGACGAUCAGUAGCCGACCUGAGAGGGUGACCGGCCACAUUGGGACUGAGACACGGCCCAGACUCCUACGGGAGGCAGCAGUGGGGAAUAUUGCACAAUGGAGGAAACUCUGAUGCAGCGACGCCGCGUGAAGGAUGAAGUAUUUCGGUAUGUAAACUUCUAUCAGCAGGGAAGAAAAUGACGGUACCUGACUAAGAAGCCCCGGCUAACUACGUGCCAGCC
rnacentral:rRNA from 1 species